UGGGGAAUCUUGGACAAUGGGCGCAAGCCUGAUCCAGCCAUGCCGCGUGAGUGACGAAGGCCUUAGGGUUGUAAAGCUCUUUUGGCGGGGACGAUAAUGACGGUACCCGCAGAAUAAGCCCCGGCUAACUUCGUGCCAGCAGCCGCGGUAAUACGAAGGGGGCUAGCGUUGUUCGGAAUUACUGGGCGUAAAGCGCACGUAGGCGGAUUUGUCAGUCAGGGGUGAAAUCCCGAGGCUCAACCUCGGAACUGCCUCCGAUACAGCAAGUCUCGAGUCCGGAAGAGGUGAGUGGAAUUCCUAGUGUAGAGGUGAAAUUCGUAGAUAUUCGGAAGAACACCAGUGGCGAAGGCGGCUCACUGGACGUGUAUUGACGCUGAGGUACGAAAGCGUGGGGAGCAAACAGGAUUAGAUACCCAGGUAGUCCCUGAGCGGGCUGGCAAGGCGCAU
rnacentral:rRNA from 1 species